rnacentral:rRNA from 1 species
CAGUAGCCGCGGUAAUACGAAGGGUGCAAGCGUUACUCGGAAUUACUGGGCGUAAAGCGUGCGUAGGUGGUGGUUUAAGUCCGUUGUGAAAGCCCUGGGCUCAACCUGGGAACUGCAUUGGUGACUGCAACGCUGGAGUGCGGCAGAGGGGGAUGGAAUUCCGCGUGUAGCAGUGAAAUGCGUAGAGAUCGGAAGGAACAUCUGUGGCGAAGGCGACUAUCUGGGCCAACACUGACGCUGAGGCACGAAAGCGUGGGGAGCAAACAGGAUUAGAUACCCCCGUAGUCCCUGUCUCUUAUAC